ACCAUUUACCCUGGAAUGCAGGGAGACAUGGAGCUCAGCAAGGGCACUCCGGUUAACCCUUUCCUAGCAAAAAAACCCAUCUGCUGAUUCCAAACCACACUGUUCCUUGCUCUCAGGCAUGUAUAUUUGCACACAAAUAAACCCACAACCGUAUAAAUUAAGGCAGACUUCCUAAAGGUUCUCAUAAGCCCCAGGCACAUGCACACCCACCCCGUGAGAGCAGCGGCUUUCCUUUCAUACCCCCAAAGCUGGGGAGACAGCAAACACAUCAGGGUGCUGUUUUAGCGGCUGGUGACUCAGUGUGGCUGUGGGCUCCCUGCCCUCUGCCCUGAGCUCCAGGGAAUGGGUUAAACUCCUCUGCUGGAAGCGGAUAAAGGAAGGAACAGAAUCCGGCUGGCCUGCUCUGGACUCCAAAACUAAGCCAAGGCACUCUUAACAUCUCCUAAUGGCCUGUCUUCUGCUCCAUCACCUGAGGCGCUGGGUGCAGACCAUCAGUAGUUACCUUCAUGGGCUGCACCCCAGCCCAUGUGUGGGUGUGGAGGGUGGCCAUGGAGCUGUGCUUCAGGCAGAGGACGUGCAGGCUGGCGGGGCCUCGUGUUCAAAGCAGCCUUUCUCAGGCAGAGCCCUGGUCCCAGCUUGAGUCCCUCCUAUGUUAUGGACCCAGUCACCCUCAGAGAAGGUGUCUGGACAUACAUCUGUUAUUUAAUCGAACCACAGCCAUGCUCAAUGCACAUAUAUCACCUAUGUGGAAAUACCUGUACAAGCAUCUGACAUGUACAACUGUGUCACCAAACUGGGUGUUAUACAACACUCUGGAUUCAUUCAUUAGAUACAGUCAUAUAAAUGCCACUCUCCAACAAAUUAAACAGAGGGGAACAGAGUUCAAGAUGAGCUAAAUUUGCAUUUGCUGCAGCUUAGGAAAAUAGCAGGAAUUGGCUCCCAAUUUACUUUUGUGUUCCUCUGAUUCUGACCCACUUGUGGGCUGAUGUGGACCCCAGCAGAACUGAAGGAGCCAAAGCGAUGUACCGCACCUGAACAGCAUUUGUUGCUGCUGUCCCAGCAGCAGCACGGGCUCUGCCUUUGCCCUUCUUCCCACAUGGAGCAGAGGGAGAUGCAUGUGUGAGGAAUAUACUCACAGCCCUGAGUUCGGGUGGUGGCUAAUUUAUACUGCAGAGGAGCUGCAAGUGAGACUGAGGAUCUGUCUCUUCUCCCAUGUUCAGGAUUUCUUAAGAAGGGAAAUCUUUCUUAUAAUUCUUAUAUUUCUUCUUUCUUCUUUCGGAUUUCUUAUAAAAAUCCUAAAGAUGUAUUUCAAACCACUGUUGUCUUUCUCUUCAUACUCCCCUCUACAGUUCAAUGCACGCACACAUACACACCGCCAAAUUACCAAUUCUUUUAUAACAUAGUAUUGCCUUAGGGUCAUCUAUAGAUAGAGAAAAUGCCGAGUUCCUGCCCCAAAGGGUUAACCACUGUGUUAGUUACUUUUACAUCAAAGGUAAGAUGGGAAUGCAGAAAAGUCAGGAAAUGUGGAUAAGGCUGAAAUUACGUUCAUAAAAGAUCUUGCAGUGGUUGGGAAUCGCAGCCCAUGCAUGGACAAGCCUGUAUUGAGACUGCUGUAAUCCCUUAGUGAAACGGGGGAGUGAAGGAGAGGUCAGUGCUCUUUGUGGGAUUCUCUGGCAUUACUGGGGCAAGGCGAGUUAGUCCCUCUCUGUUAUUUGAACAGUGAACAAGUAUUUUUUUAGGAUCUUUUAUAAGAUGCCAGAGUAAAAAGGAAUAGGCAAGAGAAAACGAUCCCAGACCUUUAGGGGAUUGCUGACUGUGGAAAAGUGCAAAUACAGAUUCAAAUUGUUUUCCUGCAAAAUCCUUUUUUUUUUUUUUCUUUUCGUGGCUUGUUUCCAUGCCACCACAGAGAAGAAUGGCAAAGGCAAGGGCUGAUGUACACGCAAAAGAGGCUUUUAAAGAUUCCCAAGACUUAUUCAGUGGGUGCUGCCCGUUCAAAUCCUCCCAGGUGCUGUUACGCUGGACUGGCAUGUGCAGAUAAACCGUCACGGAGCCCGAAAGCCACGGAGCAAUGCGCAGAAACACAGCGACAUUUAUACCUGCUCUGACCUUUCUGGAUUUGUAGUGGAUGGCAGAUGAAGGCUGACUUGUGCUCUGCCCCCUGCUCCCCUGUCACGGCCCGAGCCGUGGAGCCCUAACUGCAGGUGCUGCGUGAUGGGGCAGCCGAGCAGGGCAGCACCCAGAGGUGGGAGCGCUGGGAAGGCAGAGCUUGGAGCCUUCCUUUUCUCAAGGCUACACAUCUGCCUUGAGACAAGGGUAUUUAAAUGUCAGGUUUUAGACAGUUCCUACAUUUACUUAGGUUUGAAUGUUUAUAGCAGGAGGUCUGUGUCCUUGCGCACUCCUAUCUGCGUAUUUGCAUGAUAAAUGCCAAGGCUUUCUUCUGGGGCUUGUGUUUUUCCACAGCUGAGGUGACACACUCCCACCACGGUUAACCUUCUCCCGCCAGAGCUGAUACAAUUUUAUUUCUUUUGGAAAGGAAAUAUCAGAGCCUGAGCAGGCCCAAAGCGAUUUUCUUUGAAGGCUGCGUUGGCUGGGGCUGCGGGAAGAGCGACAAAGGGGACAUUGUGGAGACGGGCUCGCCCGGAGCGGAGGCAGGAAGGGGUUACUGCUCGCAGCUUUCCGCCCCAGCUCCGGGCCAGACCCGGGAGAGACGGAGCUGUGAUGUCAGCCUCAGCGCUGCCUCCAUCCCCAGCAUUCCCAUCUGCCACAACAAGGGCAUUCGUGCUCCGAUUUCCUGACCCCUCCGGAUUAAAACAUGUGGAGUUAAAUAUACAUCCAGCGCGAUGCUCACACGCUCGCCCUGCACCAGAAAUAGACUUAUGGGAACCCGUCUGCAGCUUUUGCCACCCGACACGCGGGAUCUGUGUCAGCGUUGUCACUGAGAGAAACACAUGUUGGGAGAACGCACGGGCGUGUACGCAGAGCCAAAAUCCAGCUCGCCUUUGUGCACCGCCGACCGUACGUGAUCAGCAGAGAGGCUGGGGGAAGGGGAGCUGGAACAGAGAAUGCACAUUAGGCGGAGGGAGUGAUUUCAGCCUUUUAACUACACAAAACUUGCUGAGUUUUCAGCGCCGUGUGAGAAGUUCCCACAGCAGGGCCGGGGCCGGUGUCGGCGCUGGGAGGAUGGGCUGGUAGCGGGAGCACCCGUCGGAGGAGGAUUUUGCUGCUGCCUUUAUUCACGGUGCUGGCGGCGGGGCCGCAGCACGCACAUGUGUGUCGUGGUGGGGUUUUUUCACCCCCGUGUGUGCUGCCUGUGACUAUCCGCCCACAUGGAUCUGUGUCUCCAUAUUUAUCUGUCAUCCCGUGGCCGCAUUGCUCAGUCUUUUUCCCUUUUAAGUGCAUGGGUUGCAUUUCUUUCUGUGCCCAGAUGGAUUUUCUUUUACUAUACACUGAGGGGAAAGGAAACGUGAGGAUAGCAGACAUUUCAAUUAUGUCUUGCUCGAAAAGGGGCUUCACAAUUUGGAGAUAUGAACAAAGGAGAAGAAAAUGAGAAUACUUCUUGUUCUUCCUCUUUUGUCUGCAGUCUUCCCGUCUUCUCUCCCAGUCUUUUCUUUUCCCUACCUCUUCCCCCAUCAGACUGUAAAUUGUUGCUCAAAUAAAAAUGUUUCAAACGUGA